rnacentral:rRNA from 1 species
GACGGGGGGGGGCAAGUGUUCUUCGGAAUGACUGGGCGUCAAGGGCACGUAGGCGGUGAAUCGGGUUGAAAGUGAAAGUCGCCAAAAAAGUGGCGGAAUGCUCUCGAAACCAAUUCACUUGAGUGGGACAGAGGAGAGUGGAAUUUCGUGUGUAGGGGUGAAAUCCGUAGAUCUACGAAGGAAGGCCAAAAGCGAAGGCAGCUCUCUGGGUCCCUACCGACGCUGGGGUGCGAAAGCAUGGGGAGCGAACAGG